AUUGAACGCUGGCGGCAUGCUUUACACAUGCCAGUCGAACGGCAGCGCGGGCUUCGGCCUGGCGGCGAGUGGCGAACGGGUGAGUAAUGCAUCGGAACGUGCCCAGUAGUGGGGGAUAGCCCGGCGAAAGCCGGAUUAAUACCGCAUACGACCUGAGGGUGAAAGCGGGGGGCCGAAAGGCCUCUCGCCAUUGGGGCGGCCGAUGUCGGAUUAGCUAGUUGGUGGGGUAAAGGCUUACCAAGGGGACUAUCCGUAGCUGGUCUGAGGGGACGACCAGCCACACUGGAACUGAGACACGGCCCAGACUCCUACGGGAGGCAGCAGUGGGGAAUUUUGGACAAUGGGGGCAACCCUGAUCCAGCCAUGCCGCGUGCGGGAAGAAGGCCUUCGGGUUGUAAACCGCUUUUGUUCGGGAAGAAAUCCUCUGGGCUAAUACCCCGGGGGGAUGACGGUACCGGAAGAAUAAGCACCGGCUAACUACGUG
rnacentral:rRNA from 1 species